CCUACGGGGUGCAGCAGUGGGGAAUAUUGGGCAAUGGAGGCAACUCUGACCCAGCAACGCCGCGUGAAUGAUGAAGGUCUUCGGAUUGUAAAGUUCUGUGAUGGGGGAUGAACACAAUGACGGUACCCCACUAGCCAGCCACGGCUAACUACGUGCCAGCAGCCGCGGUAAUACGUAGGUGGCAAGCGUUAUCCGGAAUGACUGGGCGGAAAGGUUGCGUAGGUGGUUUAGUAAGUUGGCGGUGUAAUUCCGGGGCUCAACCUCGGCGCUACCGCCAAAACUAUUAGACUAGAGUGCAGGAGGGGUAAGUGGAAGUCCUAGUGUAGCGGUGGAAUGCGUAGAGAGUAGGAGGAACAUCAGGGGCGAAGGCGACUUACUGGACUGUAACUGACACUGAGGCACGAAAGCGUGGGGAGCAAACAGGAUGAGAUACCCUGGUAGUC
rnacentral:rRNA from 1 species